GUGGGGAAUAUUGGACAAUGGGCGCAAGCCUGAUCCAGCCAUGCCGCGUGAGUGAUGAAGGCCUUAGGGUUGUAAAGCUCUUUCACCGAUGAAGAUAAUGACGGUAGUCGGUGAAGAAGCCCCGGCUAACUUCGUGCCAGCAGCCGCGGUAAUACGAAGGGGGCUAGCGUUGUUCGGAUUUACUGGGCGUAAAGCGCACGUAGGCGGUUUGUUAAGUCAGAGGUGAAAUCCCGGAGCUCAACUCCGGAACUGCCUUUGAUACUGGCAAGCUAGAGUCCGGAAGAGGUAAGUGGAACUCCUAGUGUAGAGGUGGAAUUCGUAGAUAUUAGGAAGAACACCAGUGGCGAAGGCGGCUCACUGGUCCGGUACUGACGCUGAGGUGCGAAAGCGUGGGGAGCAAACAGGAUUAGAAACCCCAGUAGUCC
rnacentral:rRNA from 1 species